rnacentral:rRNA from 1 species
AUUGAACGCUGGCGGCAGGCCUAACACAUGCAAGUCGAGCGAGCGGCGGACGGGUGAGUAAUGUAUGGGGAUCUGCCUGAUAGAGGGGGAUAACUACUGGAAACGGUGGCUAAUACCGCAUACCAUCGGAUGAACCCAUAUGGGAUUAGCUAGUAGGUGGGGUAAAGGCUCACCUAGGCGACGAUCCCUAGCUGGUCUGAGAGGAGGAUCAGCAACACCGGAACUGAGACACGGCCCAGACUCCUACGGGAGGCAGCAGUGGGGAAUAUUGCACAAUGGGCGCAAGCCUGAUGCAGCCAUGCCGCGUGUAUGAAGAAGGCCUUAGGGUUGUAAAGUACUUUCAGCGGGGAGGCGUUACCCGCAGAAGAAGCACCGGCUAACUCCGUGCCAGCAGCCGCGGUAAUAC